rnacentral:rRNA from 1 species
AUUGAACGCUGGCGGCAUGCCUUACACAUGCAAGUCGAACGGCAGCGGGCCUUCGGGUGCCGGCGAGUGGCGAACGGGUGAGUAAUGCAUCGGAACGUGCCAUUGAGUGGGGGGAUAACGUAGCGAAAGUUGCGCUAAUACCGCAUAUUCUGUGAGCAGGAAAGCAGGGGACCGCAAGGCCUUGCGCUCUUUGAGCGGCCGAUGUCAGAUUAGCUAGUUGGUGGGGUAAAGGCCUACCAAGGCGACGAUCUGUAGUGGGUCUGAGAGGAUGAUCCGCCACACUGGAACUGAGACACGGUCCAGACUCCUACGGGAGGCAGCAGUGGGGAAUAUUGGACAAUGGGCGCAAGCCUGAUCCAGCCAUGCCGCGUGGGUGAAGAAGGCCUUCGGUGUAAGCCUUUGUCCGGUAAGAAAGACAUUCGGUUAAUACCCGGGUA